rnacentral:rRNA from 1 species
AACGAACGCUGGCGGCAGGCUUAACACAUGCAAGUCGAACGAGAUCUUCGGAUCUAGUGGCAGACGGGUGAGGAACACGUGGGAACAUCCCUUUCAGUUCGGAAUAACGUUGGGAAACUAACGCUAAUACCGGAUACGUCCUUCGGGAGAAAGAUUUAUCGCUGAAAGAUUGGCCCGCGUCUGAUUAGCUAGUCGGUGAGGUAAUGGCUCACCAAGGCUACGACCAGUAGCUGAUCUGAGAGGAUGAUCAGCCACAUUGGGACUGAGACACGGCCCAAACUCCUACGGGAGGCAGCAGUGGGGAAUAUUGGACAAUGGGCGCAAGCCUGAUCCAGCCAUGCCGCGUGAGUGAUGACGGCCUUCGGGUUGUAAAGCUCUUUUGUCCAGGAAGAUAAUGACGGUACCGGAAGAAUAAGCCCCGGUAAACUUCGUGCCAGCCGCCGCAGUAA